AUGCCCUCGCCCGCCUUCGUCGGCGUGCAGUACCCUCCAUACAACUACUCGCCGCCCGCCGCCUACGCGUCCACGCCGACGCCCCAUCUCUACCGUGGACCGCUGCACUUCUCGCACCUCGGCGACGCCGACGACACGGGAGCCGACAUGGACGACAUCAUCGCGACAGGAUCGACCGCGGCUGCCGCGUCUCCCGGGUUCGCCACCCAGGACGAGGUAGUGGAUCUCAGCGGCGACAUGGAGGCCGAGCUCGGCUACGUCUACGGCGAGGACGCGCAGGAACCCGAGGAGGAGGAGGAGGACGAGGAGGAGGAGGAGGAGCCAGCUCCUGUUCCGACGAAGGGGCGCCAGAAGAAGAGGAAGCGGGCGGCUAGGUCAGGCGAACCGCGCAUCAAGUGGACGUCCAAGGAGGAGGAAUGCCUCGCCGAAGCAUGGAAAGUCGUCUGCCUCGACCCGACCACCGGCGCGAACCAGAGCUUGGAGAUGUACUGGGACCGCAUCAAGACCCCUACACAUGCAGCGCGGCUCCAAGGCGAUGGCGAACCAUUGGGGGCGUAUCCAGUUGGCGUACAACAAAUGGCAUGGAAUCGUCGAGGAGGUCGCGGCUCGCCCGGAGAGCGGCGCCAACGUUGA
rnacentral:rRNA from 1 species